rnacentral:rRNA from 1 species
CAGCAGCCACGGGAAUACGGAGGGAGCUAGCGUUGUUCGGAAUUACUGGGCGUAAAGCGCGCGUAGGCGGUUACUCAAGUCAGAGGUGAAAGCCCGGGGCUCAACCCCGGAACUGCCUUUGAAACUAGGUGACUAGAAUCUUGGAGAGGUCAGUGGAAUUCCGAGUGUAGAGGUGAAAUUCGUAGAUAUUCGGAAGAACACCAGUGGCGAAGGCGACUGACUGGACAAGUAUUGACGCUGAGGUGCGAAAGCGUGGGGAGCAGACAGGAUUAGAUACCCCGGUAGUCCCUGUCUCUUAUAC